rnacentral:sRNA from 1 species
UUGGCGACGUCGACCUCUUCGCUCUGCUGGUAAAGUUUACCGACGGCUUCGCUGAUGGCGGGGUGCCAGGUGACGGCGCGGUUAACGGCUUCGCCGAGCUGGAGCGUGCCGGGUGCGGCGUUCCCGACCACCGGCGCGACGCGGCCGCUUAAUGAAGGUAGCUCCUGUGAUUCGCUCAAUUCUCCUGUAUUAAUCAUCGCGGCGGAACUGGCAGCGAUAGCGGGCACAGAUAUCAGGCAGCACGAGAGCCACCAGUAAGGCAUCUUUAUUCCCAUGUCUUAUCCCUAAUAAAAAAGUACUGCUUUAUUGUUUAUGCCCGGGCGCUGUGCGCCCGGGUCAUU